rnacentral:lncRNA from 1 species
GGGGAUUGUGUGCUCGCCAGUCACCGUCUGCCGCUCGUCCCAUGUGGCGGUGAUGGCUUUCCUCACCAUCGCUGCAGAUCCUUCAGGUUGCAGCGAUUGCAGGACGGGGGCGAGGCAGCUCAGAUAGGGUAGGAAGAGGAGGUUGCGCGAGUGUCUGUUGCGGGUCAGGACAUGAUUGACGAACGUGGAGGAGGGCGUGGGUUUGUGGAUCUGCCACGGUGGGGGAUGCGAUUGAGAGCGGCUCUGGCAUGGUGGCACCACAUCUCCACCACUGUACGAUGGAGGAUGCUUGAUUGUGGCGACUGCCAUGGAUGGAAGUGAGUGGUGGGGGAGGCGCAGACUGCGGGGGAGGCGCGGUAGGGGAGGCGAUUGAGAGGCGACCGCCAUGGAUGGAAUGGUGCGGUGGGGGAGGCGCGGAUUGUGGGGGAUGCGUGGUGGGGGAGUCGAUUGAGAGCAGCGUAGGCGUGGUGGGAGCUCAUCCGUGUGAUGAGGAGUGGAGGGAGGGUGGACGCCUAUAACGAAACAUUAUAUAGUAGUCAGUAGAGAUAAAAGUUGUCAACUGUUCGCUAUUGUUCUCUGAUUUUGUUUGAUUAGUAAACCAAUCUUGCAUUGAAAAUUUGAAGGCUCUUUGAACACAGUAAUUUCACAUGAAUUGCUAGAUGCCGUUUGGUCACUGGGCCCGAGGCUCGGUCGCUCGGAGGUGCCAGCUGCUGCUUGGUCACUGGGCCCGAGGCU